rnacentral:lncRNA from 1 species
ACCGAGAUCAGUAUCAGAUGGCUGGAUGCUCUCAAAUACUCCAAUGACCUCACCGGUCUCUGGCUUGCACUGGGUAACACUCAGGGUGAUCUUUCCUGUAGAAGAUGCAGUAUUCUUUACGUUCUCCUUCUCAAGCUCCUCCUCGUCUCCUCUCCCUCCAGCAGGCAAUGCAACAGCGUUGUCAUAGCCAGUAGAUCCACCCCGUCCCUUUGGGUCAAGGAAGGAUGAACCUCUGUAUGAUGGCACAAGGAAUUCACCGCUAAAGCUUUCUGGUUUGCCGCUUGCCACUAGCUGUUUGAUAGUGAAGAGGAAGGGCACACGCUCACCACCAGGAAGCUGAACUGUAACAGCAGCAUAAUCAAUUCCAUCCUUCUCCUCAAACUUAACAGUGCCAUCAGAAGACACUUCGAAUGGUCCCUCAAUCUCAUCAAGGGUGUAGGUUAAGCGUGUCAUGAGCUUGGUUUUCUGGAAAUCUGGGGGUGCAUUCUUGUUCACACUCUCUGCCUUGACUGUGAAUGAUGUGGGCUCUAAGCAGAAUUUCUUGGCAUUGUAUUUGCCUGGCUUGAAGGCAAAGCUGGCAACACCUCCUUCUAUCGUAGGGCACUGGUUAGCAGUUCCAGUUCCCUUUACUUCCAUGUAUGUCUUGCUUUGAAUUUCGUCGAAGGUUAGACGUUUUGGAACUCCUUCAGCAUUUGCUCCCUAGCAGCCAAGUGGACAAACUUCAGGAAUUUUUGCAUGAGAAACAAGAUUUUCAAAUUUAAUUAAGACAGAAUCCCUAAAACAGUUUAUCCUUACAGAAACAUGGAUGCUUGUCCUGAAAUACAGAUGACUACAUGAAUGUCCAGAAAUGAACAAUGGAAAUUUUGACGAGAUUGGAUGAUUGGAUAUAGACUGAUCUUACUAUUGGAGGUGCUAUUGUGUGUAUAUAUUGGGUGACAAUGGUAAAGAAGCCCUCUAAAGUAUUUCUAUGUAUCCUCAAGCACCUGAUUUAGAUAUUUGGAAAAGAAUAUAAGGCCUACAAGCUCGAAGAAUGUUACCUGCUUUUAGAAUCAUCGGUAUGCCAUACUGGUAAGGUAGCAUUCAUCUCUGAUCCAGCUGUAGUGUUCCUUAUGAUCUUAAACUCAGGUGAUUGGUUUUACACCAACGGAAACCAUAAACUUCAUACACAAUAGAGGGAUAUGAUAGAGUUUUUUUUUUUCUUUAUUUUUUUUAAUAAUGAAUGGAAUUCCUUCUUUCAUUCUAUCCCAUUCACCGGUACUAAUCACUAAGUGUAAAAGUGGCUUUCUUGCUUUUGUGCCUACUCAUGAUCUAAACAAGUCGCACAUACACCCAAGUACAUGUUCCUUAACGCUGAGGGCAACCCCCCCACCCCCCCCCAUAGAGCAGGGGAUCUCGUGACAUCUUUCAUUGGUUGUUUGUAUUUCUAAUAAGUUAUUUAAUAGCUGGCAUGUUGAAUCAUAUACAUAAUGUGAUGAAUUUGCUUAGAUUGAUCCUAACGGAAUGAUGAUGAGAAACUGCUAAUUUGUUUUUGUCUGGUGACUAGAGCCUUCAUGCAAUACCUAAAUUGUGCUGUCUGAAUUUAUGACUUUAUUAUGCGGGAAAAAGCACUGGAUAUAUGGGAAAUAUGGACAUGAAGCAGGCAGAAUUGAGUAAGAAAAGCAACUUACUGAGACGACAAGGGCAGAAGUGGCCAGAGCAAAACCAGCAACCUUGGCAGCAUCAGUGCACUUUUGAGCCAAGUCCUUGAGUUCAGUUUGCAAAGAGCAAGUAAGCCUAGCUGCAGCUGGUUCAACACCAAAUGCUUUGCUCACACUUUGAGCAGACCUCAACUGCAGGUUGUUUCUAGCUGGGGCAACACCAACCUUUGUUGGU